GGCUGUAGCUCAGUGGUAGAGCACUUGCCUAGCAUGUGUGAGGCACUGGGUUCAAUUCUCAGCACCA
rnacentral:tRNA from 1 species